GCGGGAUUAGCCAAGUGGUUAAGGCACUCGGUUGCAAACUGAGAGACGGUGGUUCGAAUCCAUCAUCCCGCUCCA
rnacentral:tRNA from 1 species